GAUGAACGCUGGCGGCGUGCCUAAUACAUGCAAGUCGAGCGAACAGAUAAGGAGCUUGCUCCUUUGACGUUAGCGGCGGACGGGUGAGUAACACGUGGAUAACCUACCUAUAAGACUGGGAUAACUUCGGGAAACCGGAGCUAAUACCGGAUAACAUAUUGAACCGCAUGGUUCAAUAGUGAAAGGCGGCUUUGCUGUCACUUAUAGAUGGAUCCGCGCCGUAUUAGCUAGUUGGUAAGGUAACGGCUUACCAAGGCAACGAUACGUAGCCGACCUGAGAGGGUGAUCGGCCACACUGGAACUGAGACACGGUCCAGACUCCUACGGGAGGCAGCAGUAGGGAAUCUUCCGCAAUGGGCGAAAGCCUGACGGAGCAACGCCGCGUGAGUGAUGAAGGUCUUCGGAUCGUAAAACUCUGUUAUCAGGGAAGAACAAAUGUGUAAGUAACGGUGCACAUCUUGACGGUACCUGAUCAGAAAGCCACGGCUAACUACGU
rnacentral:rRNA from 1 species